UACGUAGGGUGCAAGCGUUGUCCGGAAUUACUGGGCGUAAAGCGUGCGUAGGCGGUUUGUUAAGUCCGUUGUGAAAGCCCUGGGCUCAACCUGGGAAUUGCAGUGGAUACUGGCGAGCUAGAGUGCGGUAGAGGAUGGUGGAAUUCCCGGUGUAGCGGUGAAAUGCGUAGAGAUCGGGAGGAACACCCGUGGCGAAGGCGGCUAUCUGGACCAGCACUGACGCUGAGGCACGAAGGCGUGGGGAGCAAACAGG
rnacentral:rRNA from 1 species